AGUAGUAUCCUAAUAAAAAACUCAUGUAUACUGGCGGUCUUAUUCUAUUAGAGAAACUCGCUUAUUAAUCGAUACAACCCGCUUAAUUUCACUUAAUUUUCAUAAUUUAUAUACCGCCGUUAUAAGACUCAAUUAAAAAAUAAGCCUCAAAAAAUAUUAACACAUUUAAAAUCAGGUCAAGGUGUAAUCUAUAAUUAAGAUUAAGUAAGUUACUAAUAAGAAAAACUUAAGGGAUAUAAAAAAUUCAACCUCUAAAAAAGAAUUUAUAUGUACAUUUAAAAUAAAAACUUAUUUCGAAAAACAAAACU
rnacentral:rRNA from 1 species